rnacentral:rRNA from 1 species
GUCGGAGGAAGGUGGGGAUGACGUCAAUCAUCAUGCCCCUUAUGACCUGGGCUACACACGUGCUACAAUGGUUGGUACAACGAGUUGCGAGUCGGUGACGGCGAGCUAAUCUCCUAAAGCCAAUCUCAGUUCGGAUUGUAGGCUGCAACUCGCCUACAUGAAGUCGGAAUCGCUAGUAAUCGCGGAUCAGCACGCCGCGGUGAAUACGUUCCCGGGCCUU